GAUGAACGCUGGCGGCGUGCCUAAUACAUGCAAGUCGAGCGAACAGAUAAGGAGCUUGCUCCUUUGACGUUAGCGGCGGACGGGUGAGUUACACGUGGAUAACCUACCUAUAAGACUGGGAUAACUUCGGGAAACCGGAGCUAAUACCGGAUAACAUAUUGAACCGCAUGGUUCAAUAGUGAAAGGCGGCUUUGCUGUCACUUAUAGAUGGAUCCGCGCCGUAUUAGCUAGUUGGUAAGGUAACGGCUUACCAAGGCAACGAUACGUAGCCGACCUGAGAGGGUGAUCGGCCAAACUGGAACUGAGACACGGUCCAGACUCCUACGGGAGGCAGCAGUAGGGAAUAUUCCGCAAUGGGCGAAAGCCUGACGGAGCAACGCCGCGUGAGUGAUGAAGGUCUUCGGAUCGUAAAACUCUGUUAUCAGGGAAGAACAAAUGUGUAAGUAACUGUGCACAUCUUGACGGUACCUGAUCAGAAAGCCACGGCUAACUACGUG
rnacentral:rRNA from 1 species